GGUCCAAAUUUGGAGAAGAGUAGAUUGGUAGUGUCAGUUGACCUACUAAUCUACUGCACUUCAAAUUUGGGCCC
rnacentral:pre_miRNA from 1 species